UACGGGGGAGCAAGCGUUGUUCGGAUUUACUGGGCGUAAAGGGCGCGUAGGCGGCCACCGCAAGUCGGUUGUGAAAUCUCCGGGCUUAACCCGGAAAGGUCAAUCGAUACUGCGGGCUAGAGUGCAGAAGGGGCAACUGGAAUUCUCGGUGUAGCGGUGAAAUGCGUAGAUAUCGAGAGGAACACCUGCGGCGAAGGCGGGUUGCUGGGCUGACACUGACGCUGAAGCGCGAAAGCGUGGGGAGCAAACAGG
rnacentral:rRNA from 1 species